rnacentral:lncRNA from 1 species
ACCAAGAAGGGUAAAGGAAUAGCAUUACUACUUGUUAUUGGGAAAUCCCUAUAUACAUUGACCUCCCUCCUCAACGGACAGGCAAACCUGCAAAAAAUGCUCAACCCUUUCUCGCAUUCGAAAAGGCACCCUCAACAUAACUCCUCUCGAAAUACUUCAGCUUUAUUUCCCCCCGAUAAUACCUCAGCAAAUAAGCCACACCAAGAACAAGAGUAUCUCAUAUCAUCAGGGUCGAAAGCAAGAGUAUCCCAUAUCAUGCUUUCUCCCUGUCUUUGUCUUUGUCCUUGUCCACACCUGCAGGACAAGGAGAAAGAGAGCAGUCAGUCGGAACCUGAAAUCAAACCUCCAAUUUGGAACUGACUGCCUGGAGCCUUUGCCUGGUUGCUUACUUAGCAUUGCUC